rnacentral:rRNA from 1 species
CGCCUGUUUAUCAAAAACAUGUUUUUUUGUUUUUUUAAAAAGAUUAAAUCUGCUCAAUGAAAUAAUAUUAAAUAGCCGCGGUAUAUUGACCGUGCAAAGGUAGCAUAAUAAUUAGUCUUUUAAUUGAGGUCUUGAAUGAAUGAUUUGACGAAAAAUAAUCUAUUUUAAUUUUAUUUUUUUUGAAUUUAAAUUUUUUGUUAAAAUGCUAAAAUUUAAUAGAGGGACGAUAAGACCCUAUAGAUCUUUAUUAUAUUUAUAAUAUUUAUUUUUUUUAUUGUUUUUUAUUAUAUUAUAAAUUUAAUUUUAUUGGGGUGAUAAUUAAAAUUUUUAUCUUUUUUAUUUUAUUACAAUAGUUUUUGGUUAAAUGAUCCUAAAUAAUUUAGAUUAAUAGAUAUAGAUACCUUAGGGAUAACAGCGUUAUAUAAUUGGAAAGUUCUUAUUGAUAAUUAUGAUUGCGACCUCGAUGUUGGAUUAAAGUUAAUUGUGAGGUAGGUUUCACAAUGUUAAGUCUGUUCGACUUUAAAAUUUUACAUGAUCUGAGUUCAGACCGG